rnacentral:tRNA from 1 species
GCCACGGUGGUCUAGCGGUUAGAACGCUGGCCUUGUAAUCCUGGGGUCUCGGGUUCGAUUCCUGGCGGUGCUC